AUGCUGUUUUCCAGGAGGGGAAACAUACCCAUGCUAAAAGAGUUUGAGAGUUUAAAAGAAGGAGAAAAUGGAACUGAAAAAUCCAGGAACGGUUUAGUUAAAACAUAUAACCUGAUGCUGAUGGAGGUUGGAAAUGAUCUUCAGGGAAAGUCAAAACCGCACAUCAUCAUCCACGCUGUCUGGGUCAGAACUGUUACUGUUGCUGAGAUUACUUUUGAGGUUCCCUUUAAGAAGCCAGAGCUCAACUGGAUGCAUAUAGCAGUGUUGCACCAUUUCUUCUUCACAUGUGCAGGAGCUGAAGAGAAAAUUGAGCUAGGCAGCUCUUCACAUACCCAGGCUGCCUGCUGUUGGCUGUACAGAUGCCCUCAAAGUAAAAUUUCCCUGUAUGCAUGCAGACAGCUAUCCUGCAUGGGAAAUGUGGAUACUACCCUCUACAAUACUCAUUGCAUUUAAGCACACUGUACCAUACUGACAGACUUUUGCCUUUCUGAGAAACAGCUAUGCAAUAGGAAGACUGACAGGUAACAUGCCUUUCUGUCCACUCUCCAUCUGUUGCUGCCCAGAUAUACCACAGUUUUAUCCCCAGAACUGAAAAUGUCUUUGAGCAGUGCUAGUGAAUGGGGUGUAUCUCUCAAAAAACAACUUAACAGUAAGUGCAUCAGAGUUUCAUUUUUCAUCUCAAUAUAAAUCUACAAGAAUGGAAGUCAAAAUAGGAAGAGCAUGUUUCCUCCUCACACAUGACGUUCAUUCAUCACAAAGAUGACACCAGGAGGGUAGUCUGGUAUAUAUUAUGCAUUAUUUUGUGGCACAUAGAUCAUUUUUCAAAUACAAAAGCAAACCACAUAGCCAUUUAUUCACAUCUGGAUAUAACUUUUUGGUCUGACUGAAAAUCACCUAAGCAUCUUAAUGUACUUAGGAAUGAUUCCAAUGCAUUCGCAAAGGGAUGCUGCUUCACUUUGGUGGGGUUUUUUUAAAGACUCUGGAAUACCAUGCAUUUUUUCCAUUAGAAGAGUGAAAUCAAUUUACCUCAAAAUGUGCCCCCUUGGCGAUACUGCACUUUUGCCAGUAUUAAGAACAUGUGAGCAUGUCUGGAACUUACUGGAGUGUUUCCUGGACAAACAGAAAUAUGUUUGUAAGAAAAAAAAAAAAAGUGGCUGAAAACAGUUGCUUCCUUUUUGCUCUUCUGGAAUAGCCUGUUACUCCAAAUAAUUAUAAGUACAUAGUGUGGAUAAAAAGUAUCCUCCCAGAUUUGUGUCAAGUUUUCACUGGAAAUUGCAUGUUGCAGUGAUGUUGCCUCAACAUGCUGCAACAGUAUGGCAGGAUCUGCAGAGUAAGUGCAACUGUCAAGUGAAUCACAAAGUGUCGAAUUUUAAAUGGAAUAUGUUUCCAGGGUGAGAUUCCAGGGUGUAUUGCCCUAUAUAUCACUUAGUCAUGAAUUUUAAGUCAUGAGGUUUUAUCACACUGUCUAUGAGACAGUAUUGUGCUCAUAAUUCUAUCUGUCAGUCCACAGAAAUUACAUCAGCAUACAUAGGUCAGAUUUUUUUUACUUACAUAAGGAAGCAAUAAUAUUUUGGUACUCAUUGAAGGUCUGUUUGGAAAUGUAUAUUUAUAUUGCUGUAUUUUGGAUUGUAUCCUACCAUAUCCUUCAAAAAGUCUGUGUAAAGAUUAAAGUUAACCUCUAGAGAUGGUAAUAAAAAACAAACAGGUAGAUCUUUGUGCA
rnacentral:lncRNA from 14 species